UUCAGCUAAUUUAUGGUAGCACAAAGGAGAUCAGACCUAAAUUCACCAAAGAUCUUAUAUAAGAACCUGCUAUCACAUCAAGAUGAUUGUGGUGGUUAUUUCUGAUGGUAGUUUUCAUAGUUUGAAACUCCAUAUGGAAGACCAAGUGAAUCUACUUCUCUCAUAAAAGACCCAGUAUUGAAGUUUAGAAAAGUACUCUGUAAGACUCUGUUUCUACGUAGUGGAGCUCAGUGGUUCUGAGUAUGAGCUCUGGCAUCAGACAGUCCAGGUUUGAACCUUGACCCAUACUUAUAAGCAGCAUGAGCGUGGGCAAAUUGCCCACUUCUCUGUGACUUCAUUUCUCCAUCUCUAAAAAACACAUCUAAUACCCAAAAUAUACGAAAACUUCUUCACCUCAAUAACAAAAAACAAAUGACCUGAUGAAAAAAUGAGCAAAGACCUUGAAUGGACAUUCUUCAAAGAAGAUAUCCAAAUAGCCAACAGGUCAAUGAAAAGAUGCUCAACAUCACUAAUCAAAUAAUGCAAAUCAAAAUCACAGUUGAGGUAUCAACUUAUACUUGUUAGGAUGGCAAUUAUCAAGAAAGCAAAACGUAAGCAUUGGUGAGGAUGCGGAGAAACUGAAACCCUUGUGCGCUGUUGGUAGGAAUACAAAAUGGAGCAGCUGCUGUGGAAAACAGCACGAAGGGUCCUCGAAAAACAAAAGAAGAAAUAUCAUAUGAUCCAACAAUCUCACUUCUGAGUUUUUAUCCAAAAGAAUUAAAAUCAGGAUCUCAAAGACGUAUUUGCACUCCCAUAUUCAUCGCAGCAUUAUUCACAAUAGCCCAGAUGUGGCAACAGUCUAAAUGUCUACCAACAGAAAAGCCAACAGAGGAGAGGUGGUAUAUACCUACAGUGGAAUAUGAUUUAGCCUUAAAAAGAAGCUAAUCCUUCCAUAUGUGACAACAUGGAUGAACCUGGGGGAUAUGAUGCUAAGUCAAGCACGCCAGUCACAGAAGGACAAAUACUGCAUGAUUCUACUUACAUGAGAUCCACCCUUAGAAUGGAGAGGGGCCUUGAGUGCUUCAUAGAGGACAAUGGGUAAGCCCUGGAGUUCAAGUUCAGACCUCAUAGAUGCUUCUGGAAUCAUAACUAUUCACGGACACACUGCAAAAUGGAAAUCAUAAUGUCUCUGUUGGAGAGUACGUGGUAAAGACCAGUGCCUGCUAUAUGCGAAGACCCUUAUCAUUGUGGUGGGAUCUGUCACGUUCACUUGUGAGGGGCCCGCUCUAUGUAUGGCUCAGACUUCGGCACGGGUUCCUCACUCGAGAGAAAGAAACAAAUUCAGAAAUACAGUCUAAUUGUCUCAAGAUAGAAUUGUAGUGCUGUUCUGAAGACUGAUACCCAGGCCACUUGGAUUUGGCUAUUCAUCCUUUCCUCCUCUGCUCCACCGCCACCUGGAUUCCCACUCAAGCCUGGGAGUCUGGGCAGUACAUACACCUCUCUACAAGCGCCAGUACUUGCAUAAUCCCUGGCAUUAGGUAAAUAAAUGCUGUCGAAGGAAAGAAGGAAGAGAAGAAGGAAAAAGUUUCAACUCUAAGCCCAGGGUUCUGGUGAUAACUGGAUUAGUCUUUGAGCCCUCUGAGUCAUCAGACAAAAGGAUAAUAAUUGCAAUAUAAUAUUCACACUUCCAAUUUAGAGAACUUUAAGAAUUUUUGAAAAGUGUUCGAGGAAUAUUUAUCUCAUUUAAUUGUCAAAAUAUUUCUGCAAGCUAAGUAGGGAGUAGGUAUCAUACAGAAAGUCAUUAGCCAGAGAGCGGCUGGAGCUCAAGUUCUGACCUCUGAACUCCCAAACCACGUAGAAGGAGAAGGAAGAAUGGCAAAGAAAUCAAUGCAUUGUCAGUUAAUAGGAGGAAUGAAUAUACUUUACCAAAAGUCUUGAUCAUGCCACACAGAUUCAAAAGGAACCAAGAAAGGAGAACUAAUUGUGUCUUUCAUUUGCCAUGCAAAAAAUGCUUAAAUGUAAGCAUGUGUUUGCAGCUAUGGGAAGCUAUUGCAACUCAAUUACUAUCCUUUCUUACUUCCGCUUUUUUUAAGACUUUCUGUACCUGGGUGUCUUUCCUAGUAAAAAAUAAAAAAUAAGAUCCUUUGAUUUCACUUCUCUUAUUCAUGUUUCUCUGCCCUUUAAAAAUAAGUGACAGUUAUCAACAAAUAAAAAGA